GGUGAAUGUAAUUUUUUUUUUCACUCUCUCAGCCUCUCAACUGCCCUGACAUCUGAUGGCUGAUGCUGAGCAGCAGCCAUUUCCGUAAGCAGUGAGUGAGGAGAAUGGGGAUAGAGGGAUGAGAGCUUGAUGGAGACAGAGUGGGAGAGUUAAAAAAAAACACAGUGAAAGGGAGCGAAAGAGAGAGAGAGAGAUGUGGGUGGUUUUGAGCAGAGAGGAAAGAUGCUCUGCUCUGGAAGGCUGUGUGGGCGUUCGUUGCCGGCGAGGAGCUCGGGGAUGAGCCGAGCCGCCUGUGACCCUCUGUGGAGAUUUUAACCCCUGGAUAACAGCUGCUCCGCACCUGGCCUGGACCAGAUCCCAGAGCCCCAAACAUGCAGGACUCCCACAAAUCUCAGUGUUUUAAAAACCUCUUUCACAGCAACAGCAGGAGCAAAUAGAUGCUAAGAGCACUCAGAGUGUUUUAUCUCUCCAUCUCUGGUGGAUUGUGUACUGGGUGACCGUUCGCUCUGGGUGUCAGAGGCCCCGGAUGAAGAGGUGCCUACAGAUCAUCGAGUGGUCUUGAAAGCAUCACAUGAGAUCCUCUUGGAUGCACAUCAGAGGCAGCUCUUGUGGUGAAUUUUAUACCAGAACAUUGCUUCGAAAAACAGAUUGUUCCAGUUGUAAAGCAAGAACAUAGAGACACUGAGCAAACUGUGUUGACUCUUCAGCCUUUUUUUAAAUUAUCAGUGCGUGUUACAAGGUGCAUGUGUGCAAAAUGUGUAGAUGCACAAGUGUUCAUGGCUUGUAUCCUGUCAUAUAAAUCAUGUUUAUAUUAAAGAGUUGACAGAAGAAAUGUGGUGAUUGAAGCAACUCUUAAAUCACCCAGUCUGAGAAAUCUGAAAAUCUUUGUGGAGACUUUUGUUCUAUAAUUUUAAAGAUUGUAUGUACAUAUUUUUAACUCAUAUUUUUGUCACUGAAAUUGUGUUAAGGGAAGAAGCUUAAAUAAUUUGUUUCAUACCUUUUGCGUUACUUUGUAACACAAGUCUGAGGUCAUGGUUCUCAGCCCCGAAUCGGGGAAGUGAUCACUCAUUUUUGUAUCUCCUGCACAAACUAAAGUCAGCAUUAAAUAAAUAAAUGAAUCAAAUAAAAAUCAGAAUGUGCAAUACCAGAGAGAUGCUCCUCUUGUCAUGAGGUUCAUAUGAGAGCUGGACCCAAAAGCAGACGCCAUGCACUCACUGAGAACUAUAUACAAGACUUUAUUUACGAGGAUAAGAAGAGUGAAGCAG
ensembl:lncRNA